rnacentral:rRNA from 1 species
UGGGGAAUAUUGCACAAUGGAGGGAACUCUGAUGCAGCGACGCCGCGUGAGUGAUGAAGGAUUUCGUUUCGUAAAACUCUGUUCUAUGGGAAGAAAAGGACUGUACCAUAGGAGAAAGCUCCGGCUAAAUACGUGCCAGCAGCCGCGGUAAUACGUAUGGAGCGAGCGUUGUCCGGAAUUAUUGGGCGUAAAGGGUGCGCAGGCGGCGUUACAAGUUGGAUGUGAAAUAUUGUGGCUCAACCACAAACGUGCCUCGAAAACUGCAAAGCGUGAGUGAAGGGGAGGUAAGUAGAAAUCCUGGUGUAGCGGUGGGAGGCGUAGAUAUCAGGAGGAGUACCGGUGGCGAAGACGACUUACGGGACUUAAACUGACGCUCAGGGACGAAAGCGUGAGGAGCAAACAGG